rnacentral:siRNA from 1 species
UCCAAGGUGACUAGGACUUCGC